AAUUACCACGGCGCAUCCCUCUCCCCGCUGUCACAUCAUAUGCCUCACCCUCCCCCAUGACGAUUUGUUUGUCCCGCCCUCCAGGAGGGCGGGAGCAGUAUGUUUUUAUAAUAUAUUGAUUCUAGAAUUUAUUUUUAAAUAUUUAAAAUAUAUAAAUAAAUAAAUAUUAUUUUUACCAAAGCCAUUGCAAAUAUUAGCAGGUCAGUUUAGGAGUUGGGCCCUGACUCGAGUUUAGGAAAAAGUGCACCGAAGGUCCCUCAACUUAUCAUCGAGUUAGAAAAUCAUCCCCCAACCAUAAAACCAGAUAUCUGGUGUCCCCCAACUUACAGUACCAGUGUAAACUAGGUCCCUCGAUGUUUUGUGACUCCGGUUUUAUUCGAUGUGAGCUGACUCAGCGUGGGACCCACAUGGGCCCCAUGUGUUAGCAUCUUUUUUCCCCAUCCCCUCUCCACCUCUCUUCCUCUCUCCUGUCUUCUUCACGGGCACCGGUGGGGGAGCAGUUGCACCGGCGGUAGCCGGCGGGCGCAGGCGGUGGGGGACGAAGCCGCUCGCGGGCGGGCGGCAGAGUGGCGCGCAGGCGGGCGUAGGCGGCGGGGGAGCAGCUACAUGGGCGCCGACGCCAAUGGCGGAGGCGGAGGCGGCGGCAGCAGGCAGCAGCUGCCUCGCGGCCGUAAUCGUCGUGGCAGCAGCCAUGUCUCUGAUGAGGCCGCGCUCCUCCAACGCGAGCUCAGCAAGCGGUGGCGGCGGCAGAGCUCGGCCGGGGCAGGACAUAAACAUUGACUCGCCGGAGUAGUUUUCAAACGUUUGACGGCAAAAUUAGCCCCUUGUGCAUGCGCUAUCAACCCUUUUAUCGUUUCACUGAUUGAUGACGACUCCAAGUUGGCAAGUUCCAGCCUUCCACUGCUGCUGGACCUAUGGACGACGAGCACUAGGCACAUCUUGUUGUUUAUCCUUUUUCUGAACCUCACAAUGAGCGAUGCUGCUGAAAUUCAGCUGCAGAUUACAGGUGUCCGAGGCCAAGAAGACGUGGUAGCAGAGUGUGACAUGGGCACGUCUCGAGCAGAUGCAACUGCGGCGGCGCCGCCGCCUGUGUCCAGCAAGAGGCUGCGGUGGUGGGCGGUGGUCCUUGCCAACAUCGUGGUUGUCCUCGGCGGGCAGAGCGUGGCGACGCUUCUCGGCGGCGGCGGCUUGUGGUUGGUGACAAUGUUGUAGUCCUGCGGCGCGCCGCUCGCGCAUCCCGCUGCUGCUCUACUUCCGAACAGGCUCACCGGCCCCUCCUUGACCGAGCCCAGCGAGCGGUGGCGGCGGCAGAGCUCGGCCAGGGCCGGGCUCGACGGCCGCCUUUCCCCAUCUGCCGCCGGCUGCGUCGAGAAGAGAGGAGAAGAGAAGAAAUAAAAGAAAAGAGAAAAAAAGAGAAGAAAUAAGACAUAGAUGUAUGAAAUCUCAGUGGGAAAAAAGUUAGCUAAGCUGGACUCUAAUUCUUCUUCUAGUAGCAAUCGCCAAUUUUCAGUAUUUUGUUCAAUGAAUCAUGUGAUCUUUAGCAGCAAGUGAUGGUUAUAUCUUGUGCCUUGCACCA